GACGAACCACACAAACGUUAUUCGGAAUUACUGGGCGUAAAGCGCACGUAGGCGGCUUUGUAAGUUAGAGGUGAAAGCCCAGGGCUUAACCCUGGAAUUGCCUUUAAGACUGCAUCGCUAGAAUUGUGGAGAGGUAAGUGGAAUUCCGAGUGUAGAGGUGAAAUUCGUAGAUAUUCGGAAGAACACCAGUGGCGAAGGCGACUUACUGGACACAUAUCGACGCUGAGGUGCGAAAGCGUGGGGAGCAAACAGG
rnacentral:rRNA from 1 species